UAGGCCAUUGGUUUUAGUCCUGGAGAUGGGCA
rnacentral:piRNA from 1 species